GACAGAGGGGGCAAGCGUUGCUCGGAAUUACUGGGCGUAAAGGGCGCGUAGGCGGGAUGGCAAGUCGGUCGUGAAAUCCUUCGGCUCAACCGAAGAACGUCGAUCGAUACUGCUGUUCUUGAGGGUUGCAGAGGAGACUGGAAUUCCUGGUGUAGCGGUGAAAUGCGCAGAUAUCAGGAGGAACACCGAUGGCGAAGGCAGGUCUCUGGGCCACUACUGACGCUGAGAAGCGAAAGCGUGGGGAGCGAACAGG
rnacentral:rRNA from 1 species